UCAUAGUGUUGUGUUCCUGUCGGUGAGUAAGGUUGCCAGAGUUGCAGGCUGUUAGGGUCGGCAACGCGCAUGUAACUCCUCUGGAGUUGCAGGCGUACAUAGGCUACGGAGACUGCUUAACAUCAGGCGGGCCGUAUGCUUGUUUGCCACCGACGUAGUAUAAAAAAAAUACU